rnacentral:tRNA from 1 species
CGACAUAGCUCAAUUGGUAGAGCAGCUGAUUUGUAAUCAGCAGGUUGCGGGUUCGAGUCCCAUUGUCGG